UGGCAAGUGGCUAGCCCUCAGGUUCC
rnacentral:piRNA from 1 species